rnacentral:rRNA from 1 species
AGUGAACGCUGGCGGUAGGCCUAACACAUGCAAGUCGAACGGCAGCACAGUAAGAGCUUGCUCUUACGGGUGGCGAGUGGCGGACGGGUGAGGAAUACAUCGGAAUCUACUUUUUCGUGGGGGAUAACGUAGGGAAGCUUACGCUAAUACCGCAUACGACCUACGGGUGAAAGCAGGGGAUCUUCGGACCUUGCGCGAUUGAAUGAGCCGAUGUCGGAUUAGCUAGUUGGCGGGGUAAAGGCCCACCAAGGCGACGAUCCGUAGCUGGUCUGAGAGGAUGAUCAGCCACACUGGAACUGAGACACGGUCCAGACUCCUACGGGAGGCAGCAGUGUGGAAUAUUGGACAAUGGGCGCAAGCCUGAUCCAGCCAUACCGCGUGGGUGAAGAAGGCCUUCGGGUUGUAAAGCCCUUUUGUUGGGAAAGAAAAGCAGCAGGUUAAUACCCCGCUGUUCUGACGGUACCCAAAGAAUAAGCACCGGCUAACUUCGUG